UGUCCAUGUUUUGACAACUGUAUUCGAGUGUGUGGAAGAGUUUUAAAAAUCCUCUAGCACCAUUCGAAUUCAGUGCUCGAACGUGGUUA